GGAAGGCAGAGAGGAACGCACCACCUACGACUGCUGCAGCCAUGAUCUCAAGAACAAGUGAUAUUAAGAGUUGAAUGAGAAAGCUUCAAGACAAAGUGUAGUGAUGGUUGGUAUCACAUCACACCCUAUGCAGUUGGAUUGGAUGCUUUUUCAAAGACUCUUUCCUUUUGCACCACACAA